AUGGUCUAUUGGAGUCAACACGAGGCACUAGCAGAUGCUGCACAAGCAGUAGCUGAUGGGGGCUGCCUGUUACCACACGCAGUGGCUGCUGCUAGCCGGCGUUCGCCGCAGCUGCUACCACACGCCCGUGGUGCUAGAACCGGCACGGCGAGGUACAACCGGCGAGUGGCCAUGCUGCAACCAGCACACAGUAGUGCUGGAACCGGCAAGCGAAGAAGGUGUCAAUUUUUGCUGGAACCGACCGCAAUUUUUGCUACCAUCAUCUUCGAGUUUUGCUGGAACCAACCCAUUGUUUGUUGCCACGGGUUUUGUUUUUGCUGGAACCAUGUACCACCGUAUUUGUUUUUUGCUGGAAACCAGCCCAAAUUUUGCUACCAUGUUUUGUUUUUGCUGGAACUAGCGCACCAUUUUGUUACCAUCGUUUUGGAUUUUUGCCACUACAGGUGUUGUUGA
rnacentral:rRNA from 1 species